AAAAAAAUAAAAAAUCUUGAAAUGAAGAAGUUUACAGGACAAGACAGACUUAAUCUUUGCCUACUUUCUGUUACUGUUCACAGACAGAUGACCUGAAAAUUAUGGAUGCAUUUUACAUGACUGCCUAUUUAUUGCAACCAUUUCUUUAGCUUUGACAUACAACCAGAACAAUAAGUGAACAAGGCUUACAUUUCUGUGCUGGAAAUAUGCAGUCUCCAUCCAUCAGGAAAAGUCUCAAUGGGAACUCAACCUACAACAUCCUAACAAGUAACACCAAGUAACACCAAGGCCCUCCCAAGCCACCUUCAGCACCAACACAACAGAGCAGUGAAGUGCACACAAGUCACUUUACUGCCCUGCAUAGGCUACGUUUAGGAAAACUUUACUGAGCUAUUAAAUAAGCAAUUAUGACGAUAUAAGAUAUUAAAUACAGAUAGGGUUGUGUCAACCAAGCUACUAAAUUUGGGCUUUAGGCUUUUUAAAUUCUUCCCCGCAGAAAUAUUUGGGGUAUUCAAAUAAGCAUUACACCUUUCCCUCUAACACACACCUCUUUCUUCAGAAGAUACCUAAAAUUCAGCAAAGAAAGAAAAUAAAGAAAAACGUAACACAGCAAAGUCCUACUGGGGAAUAGGGUUUUAAUGAACACACAAAGCAACUAGGUGACAUCUUUAUCAGCCCUCAUAAACCUUGAUUGAAUACACAGUGAUAAGGCCUGUUUAAACUGUCAUCCUCACGAUAACACAGGCAGAGACAACGCGGGCCUUAGCAACGACCUGUGCGAGGGAGGCCCUUGGUGAAGAGGCCGCCCUUCCCACCGUGCUGUGAACAGUCCAGAGCCUGCAUGGCUGCCUGGGCCGUGCCAUGCUGGGAGGCAGAGGGCUGAGGGCUGCCCAGGAUGGUAGUACAACCACGUCUUCCCCCAGCACUGCCUUGGAAGAGCACCUGCAUCAGGGCUCGUCUGGCUUUGGGGAUGGCCAGCUCUCUGGGGAAGAUGGGUGCUCUGAGUCACAGUGACCUUCAGCACUCACAUCUGCAAACACCAAGAAUUUCGUGUCUCAUCACAGAAGAAGAGAGGAACAGUAGUAUUCUAUUUAAAGCCAACAAUCUAUGGCCAUUGGGAAAUAAAUGUUAUGUAACUGCUAUUUAGUUUAUAUAGCUUUCACACAGAAGAUCACGAUACCUUACUACUGUUAAGGUAUAUACACAGUAGGGGUUAUGAAAUUUUAGCAGAAAAGUAUUACUUAGAAUGUGGUUUCAGACUUACUUUAUUCAAAGAGAUGGAAUUCUUUUCCUAAUUCUUUAUGAAGGCAGCAAGAAGUCCAAAACCAGAACCCUUCUCUUUGCAAGCAAUCCUAGGUGAACUUCCUCCAGGCAACAUAAGUGCACAAGAAACUCUAGACAGAAGUUUCUCUCUUCAAGUUGUCUGUACAGUUUCUUUGAAAAGAAACCCUUAAGCUGUCACCAAAAACCACGAUACAGUAAGAAUGAAAAUUACAGGUGGUCUAUAGGACAAAAAGACACCACUAAAGCUAAACAACCUUGAAACAUUUACUUGUUUCUGAAUUUCCUUAUACCGUUGAGAUCAGAAGUGCCCCUUAUCCUUUCCUCAGAUGGUAUACAAAAUUUCUUAUGCCACCAAUGGAGAGAAAUAAGGGAUGUCAAUAAAUUAAUGUGAAAUUAUGCCAAGACCAAAUUCAGGAAUUCCUCCUAUCAGUACAAGAAAUUCAGUGUGGAGUAAGGGACACAAGGACAGGACCCAAUAUGCUUAUGCCAACCUCAAGUGAAAAAGAAAAUAGGAGGACAACAUUCAGAAGGGACAUACCAUGAAAGAAGGGACACAGUUCUGCUAUUAAAAAUACAGACAAAGAAAGAAUUGAAAUGGAGGAUUUCAGCAGAGGAGACAGAAGCACUGAGGACACGAAAUACAACCCACAACAGAUGUGACAGAGAAAAUAAGUUGCAAACACGAAAGUAAGGCCCCUUGUUAAAUUCAACACACAUAAGAACCUGUGCCUGAGUGACACUGACUGUCUCAAGAUCCCUAUUUGUGAAACAUGACUUUGCUACAAGGGAUGGAAAUUUUUGUUGAAGGAAUAGCUCUCUGGUCUGUUCAGCCUCUUGGGAGAAAGAUUAUGAGUUACUUCAAAUUUCUGGCCUUCAAGUAACUUACAUACUCAGAGAAGCCUUGAGAAGCUGGACAUUCCUUCCACUGAGCAGCCCGAUAGGCUUCAAAGCAUAUUUAACUAUAAGCUGUGUUACUAUAAAGUGGAAAACAUUAAUCAGCUCUAGCCAUCUAGGGAGACUGUGGUUAUCAUUAAGAACAUGUGGGACACUCAUACAAGAAUUCUUUUCCCCUGCCCACUGGACAAGCUCUUUCAUAUAGUUUAUCUGCUCCAACUGCAUGCUUUUGAAAAAAAGCUUGACUAAAUGAAUACUUUCAACUAGAGCUAAAGGCAAACACUCCACUGGAACUUUGCCCUAAUCAAUAGUAGCAAUGUUCAUGUCACAUGAGAGUCAGAGGACAGAAUAUGGUGCUUACUGAAGUCAGCAAAUAACCUAAUUAUACUUAGCCUGCUUGAAGAAGGAGACAAGUAAGGUCUGGUCCACCCACAUAUUAAUGCAAUCAUCAUUAUCCUUAUCCCUUGUUUGCUUUCUGCUUAUAUUGUAAUAAAAACUUGUGUGAAAUGGAGGGUGCUACUGACCCCUUGUGGGAGAAAUACUCACACAUUUCAGGAUGCAGACGCGUCAGUGGGGAAAUCGGCUCAGAAUUAAGUUUAUCUCCUUACCUCCCACAGAUUUAUUUCUAAUGAAAAUUCAGUGAAACAGAGUUAGGGCUGCAAGAGGUCACUAUUGUCUCACAAGUGUAUUUGCACAAUUUCAGGUAAUUUUACAGAAAUUUAGGUUUAUUAGCUUCUCUAGGGCAGUCACAUAAGCAUCAAUAAAUCCUAAUUGUAGUAGAUACUGCAAUGACUUUCCCAUAACUUAAAGACUUGCAUUAUUGAAGACCAAAACUUACACACUGGCAGUUGGCAUGGUUCUCAAUUUUUAAUGUAAUUUAAACUAUUUUAAUCCAUCACUUGCUAGAGACUGCAAAAAACUCCAGCCUUACUAUCUCCUGGAAAGCAAGAACAUACUACUCUGCUGAAAAGGGAACAAACUAUUUAGAACCCUGAAGUGUUUUUCAGCCAAAACCUUCUUGUAAAUAUCAAGGAAAGUCAGUAUGACUCCUUCUUGAAAGCCAAAGUUUUCCAGUGCAUGUCACUGUCAUGAUAAGGGCUGCACGAAGUAUAAGAACUACAACAAUUUUAUUCCUGACAACUUAUGUUUCCUUUCCUUAUGGUGGAAAACCAAGUCGGAAAAGGAAGGCUAAUGCUUUUUAUCCCAAUACUACCACUAAUCUUUACUCCCUAAAUGAAACAGAGUACACCCAUAAAGAACCACCACCCUCUGCAUUUGAUUCAUGUCAAAUCCGAAGGACAUCUCCAUGCACUUUCACCGCUCUCAUCAAAAACAGAUGACUGUAUAUGGGAUAUAGCUGGAAUGACUUAGAACAGCAAAGUGUACUAUACAGAAAUUAAUUUCAUAACACAGUAUUUAUAUUAUAAAAUUAUUAUAAUUAUUCAUAUUGCACAGUAUGAAACAGCCUUCUCAAAAUCCAAACCCAUCAAUACCAAACACUAGCAAAACCUGAAGCUUCCACUGCAAUCAACAGCAGGGGCUGAAACCACUGCAAUCACCGAGACGAAGCCUUGAACCAAUUCCAGCAGCGCUCCCAUCACAUUCAAUGAACACAUAAGGAGAAAUAUGUGAACAGCUUGUAAAUCCCAAAGCAAAGAACAAGAGGCUAUUUCAAAUGUAUUUCAACAAUUUGCAUCAAUUAUUUCAAAAUAAAGUUUUUUCAAAAGUAUUUGAGAACACUGUUUUCAUACAGACCUGUUAUAUAAACCAAGGCUGAAGAAACUUGAAAAAUGAAAAGAAACUGAGAAAGAGAGCAACAAACUUUUUAUUCUGUCAGUUCCUUUUUUUCACCUGUACACUAGGACAAAUAAAAACACUAAGCCAUAUAAGUCUGGUUUGUUUUGUUGCCUUUGAUUACAUAGACUUUUUUUUAACAAAUGCAUCCAUUAAAUUGAAUCCUAAAAGUACAAACUAUGAUGCAGCAUCUGUUGUCUCAGAAUAUGGAAGUUACUGUAUCUGGCAGGAGAUGUCUUAACGAUCACAUUCACGUAGCCAGAUCUGUAAAGGCCAUUCAAUUACAAGUAAACACAGAGUCUAACAUAUACUUAACAGCAACUCUGGUCAGUAGAACAGUACUAUGAACUGCAUAUUUACAGAAAAAUGUGCACAUAAUCCAAAAAUAAUUUUAAAUCAACCUUUCUGUUACAACAUAAUCCACCCUUCAAACUUUACUGUGCUGCUUUAACAAUGUUUGAGUACCUUGGAGAUUCAAAGGCACAAAAUACUUCUGAUGCUUCCACAAACUCAUUCUUCAGGAACAUAUUAUAAAAGAACCAGGUUUUUUAGAACUUUGGACUGCAAAAUUUCUCAAUAAAGUCUGGUGCACUUUUAAAAAUUGUAUGCCAACAAGUAACCAAGUUUGUAAAUAUUUUUUCAGGUAUACAAUUUUCUAAUUCCACGGUGACAUCUAACAUCAUUACAACUAAGAAGGAGGAAGACAAAUGAGCCACCACCCCAUUUCCAAUGUUGUGUGCAAAAAAUCAGUAAUUCAGUCCAACUAUACUUUUAAAACAAAUCUCUUGAAAAAGUCAGUAUACAUCAUAUAUGACAAGUUUUACUAACCAUACAGUACAUCAGCAUUUCCUUUGAAAAGCUUAGACUUUGCUAAGCAGUUUUAAAGUAAGCAAUUAUAUAAUGCUAUCUGCAUACAGAAAUACACUACAUUCACACAGGCAACCUUAAAUUUCUCCAAUAAACAGUCAUGUCGAAAUCUACAGUUUACAGAAAAUACAAACUUAGUUUUAACAAAAGCAAAAAUGUUCAUUGCGAUUCAGAAAAACCUGUUUCCUAACAUAAAUAGUUUGCAUUCAUAAAGACACUAAUGUUGGGACAAAA